rnacentral:rRNA from 1 species
GAGUUUGAACCUGGCUCAGGACGAACGCUGGCGGCGUGCCUAAUACAUGCAAGUCGAGCGGACAGAUGGGAGCUUGCUCCCUGAUGUCAGCGGCGGACGGGUGAGUAACACGUGGGUAACCUGCCUGUAAGACUGGGAUAACUCCGGGAAACCGGGGCUAAUACCGGAUGCUUGAUUGAACCGCAUGGUUCAAUUAUAAAAGGUGGCUUCGGCUAUCACUUACAGAUGGACCCGCGGCGCAUUAGCUAGUUGGUGAGGUAACGGCUCACCAAGGCAACGAUGCGUAGCCGACCUGAGAGGGUGAUCGGCCACACUGGGACUGAGACACGGCCCAGACUCCUACGGGAGGCAGCAGUAGGGAAUCUUCCGCAAUGGACGAAAGUCUGACGGAGCAACGCCGCGUGAGUGAUGAAGGUUUUCGGAUCGUAAAACUCUGUUGUUAGGGAAGAACAAGUACCGUUCGAAUAGGGCGGUACCUUGACGGUACCUAACCAGAAAGCCACGGCUAACUACGUGCCAGCAGCCGCGGUAAUACGUAGGUGGCAAGCGUUGUCCGGAAUUAUUGGGCGUAAAGCGCGCGCAGGCGGUUUCUUAAGUCUGAUGUGAAAGCCCCCGGCUCAACCGGGGAGGGUCAUUGGAAACUGGGGAACUUGAGUGCAGAAGA